AAAAGCUUUUUCUUGCUCCAAUCAAUCUUGUUAGGAGGCCUUUCCAGAGGAAAGAGACUGUUCUACCGGUGGAGGGUGUCAAUUCUCUCUGUCAGCUUAUCCAUCGUGUACUUCGUAGCCAUGAGGAGACGUCGUUUCAGGAGCUGGCUAGAGAGAGACUUUUCAUGGAAUUGGAAUAUGAACGUGCAAUGUCCAUGGAUGCAACUCGAGAUGCAAAAGCCAAGGAAAAUUCGCUAACAUCUGCAGCAGUUGGUGCCUCCCUCGGCGCUGGCCUCGGCAUUGUUUUGGCAGUCGUUAUGGGAGCAGCCUCUGCAUUGAGAAAACCUUGAUUCUUCAUCUUGCCAUAAUUUGUGAGUUUGUAUAUUCGGUGUGAAAGCACUUGCAUGGUUUUUUAUACAUGGUGGUUUAUUUAAUUAGUUAAGGUUCUUCGAUUGAUUACCAUUACCUACAUACACUAUUUGCUUAAUAUUCAUGUAAAAUUAUAAUAGGGAAGAAAAUUGGAUCUCUCAGAAAUUUGGCAGAUUGGAU
rnacentral:misc_RNA from 1 species